rnacentral:rRNA from 1 species
AUUGAACGCUGGCGGCAUGCCUUACACAUGCAAGUCGAAAGGUAACAGGUCUUCGGAUGCUGACGAGUGGCGAACGGGUGAGUAAUACAUCGGAACGUGCCCGAGAGUGGGGGAUAACGAGGCGAAAGCUUUGCUAAUACCGCAUACGAUCUCAGGAUGAAAGCAGGGGACCGCAAGGCCUUGCGCUCACGGAGCGGCCGAUGGCAGAUUAGGUAGUUGGUGGGAUAAAAGCUUACCAAGCCGACGAUCUGUAGCUGGUCUGAGAGGACGACCAGCCACACUGGGACUGAGACACGGCCCAGACUCCUACGGGAGGCAGCAGUGGGGAAUUUUGGACAAUGGGCGCAAGCCUGAUCCAGCCAUGCCGCGUGCAGGAUGAAGGCCUUCGGGUUGUAAACUACUUUUGUACGGAACGAAAAGACUCUGGUUAAUACCUGGGGUCCAUGACGGUACCGUAAGAAUAAGCACCGGCUAACUACGUGCCAGCAGCCGCAGUAAUAC